rnacentral:rRNA from 1 species
UGAGGAAUAUUGGACAAUGGGUGAGAGCCUGAUCCAGCCAUCCCGCGUGAAGGACGACGGCCCUAUGGGUUGUAAACUUCUUUUGUAUAGGGAUAAACCUACUCUCGUGAGAGUAGCUGAAGGUACUAUACGAAUAAGCACCGGCAAUCUCG